rnacentral:rRNA from 1 species
AUGAGGAAUAAGGUGGAUGAAAAGAAGAUGUCAUGGUUGGAUAGCAUCUACAAGUUCAAGGAAAAAUGGGCUGAAUGUUACAUGAGAGAUGUCUUCACAUUGGGUAUGAGAAGCACACAAUUAAGUGAGAGUUUCAAUAGUGACUUGAAAAAACAUUUAAAAUCAGAUUUUGACAUCAUUCGGUUCUUGAAGCAUUUCGAAAGGGCGGUGCAAGGAAAAAGAAACAAGGAACUAGAUGCAGAAUUUGAAGCUAGGAAAAAGUUACCUAGAAUAAGCAUGAAGACACCCAUGCUUGCAAGCAAGCAAACUUUACACACCCACAAUAUUUGA